rnacentral:sRNA from 2 species
CGCUAGUCACCGCCUAAUCGGUCUCUCGCGAGAGUGGCCGUACCGGGAACCCAAGUUUCUACUGGGGUGAAUCCCGCCGGGACGUCCUCACGCACCGGUGGGUAGGGCUGAUCUUCCCAGCCCGAACCCGUCAGCUAACUCGGUCGGCGGAUGAAUGGAAGAAAC